rnacentral:rRNA from 1 species
GACGAACGCUGGCGGCGUGCUUAACACAUGCAAGUCGAACGGAAAGGCCCCUUUGGGGGUACUCGAGUGGCGCACGGGUGCGUAACACGUGAGUAACCUGCCCUUGACUUCGGGAUAACUUCAGGAAACUGGGGCUAAUACCGGAUAGGAAUCCUUGCUGCAUGGUGGGGGUUGGAAAGCUUCGGCGGUUUUGGAUGGACUCGCGGCUUAUCAGCUUGUUGGUGGGGUAGUGGCUUACCAAGGCUUUGACGGGUAGCCGGCCUGAGAGGGCGACCGGCCACAUUGGGACUGAGAGACGGCCCAGACGCCUACGGGAGGCAGCAGUGGGGAAUAUUGCACAAUGGGCGGAAGCCUGAUGCAGCAACGCCGCGUGCGGGAUGACGGCCUUCGGGUUGUAAACCGCUUUCAGCAGGGGCGAAGCUUGUGGUGACGGUACCUGCAGAAGAAGCACCGGCUAACUACGUG